rnacentral:misc_RNA from 1 species
UAGUGACAUAAUUUGUGCUUAGUUGUUUUACUUUGAAUAUAUGAUAUGACUUAACAUUCUUUUUAAUUUCAUUUUUAUCACAAUGCAUAUAUGGUGAUGUGGAACUUAUUUUUUGAAUGAAAACCUUGAUGUCGGCAUUUACUUGUUUUUGUGGAAUGUAAAUAUUUUUUGAACUAGCACCUUACUGCUCUUGAGUAGGUGUCUAGUGCCGUGGGCAAUUAUGGGUCAUGGCACCUGAAAUGCAUCUUUUAUUUUGACAAAACUCGGUGUUUGUUUUGAUCUUCUUUCUUUCCUUCUUUUGUUAUAGAAAAUAAGACAUAUUAAGAUUAAGAAGAGAGAGAAUUGAAAUAUUAUUGCAGGAAAGGAGGACUGAAGCAAUAACAGAAAUA